ACACGUGAAACCCUGUGGGAAGCAGGAGGGACCACCCUCCAAGGCUAAAUACUACCUAGUGACCGAUAGCGUAUAGUACCGUGAGGGAAAGGUGAAAAGAACCCCGGGAGGGGAGUGAAAUAGAACCUGAAACCCUGCACUUACAAGCUGUGGAAGCACAUUUCUUGUGUGACCGCGUACUUUUUGUAGAACGGGCCAACGAGUUACGUUAAGUAG
rnacentral:rRNA from 1 species